GAAACCAGGCAUCUAAUCCAGUCCCCUGCAGCCCCACACAUUCAUAAUUCUCUUCAAACAUCUUCAAGAAAGAAGAAAUGUCUGCUUUCCUAGGAAAAUACUGAAAGAUGGCAUAGCUGUCAUGGAAUGUCAGGAAAUCCAUUUGAUUAAGGAUUCUCCUGCCUCUCUGACUGAUUCCAAAAAAGGAUCAUUUUUGUUGUUCGUCUAUUUUUUCAUUCAUCAGAAAUGACAUGCUAACAUCAGACACAUUGAGCACCUAUAGCUGGAGACACACAUACAUGGGUUUUGGGCUUAUAAGUAGGGGAGUAAGGGAUUACAGGUGCCGUAAAGGAAAUGUUUAUGGGAUACAUUGAAGGUCAUUUCUACUUGGGAAGACAGGACGGCUUCAUAGAGGAGAAGGUGGUUGAGCAGAGUUUUGAGGCUGAGUAGAGAUUCAGCACAUAGGCAAGGUGAAGGUGGGCAUCAUAGAGAGAGGGAGGAGCAUGGCCAGAGGCACAGAGGCACAAGUCAGCACAGCCUUCAGAGAGCAAGGUCAGUGACCAGUGUCGGGUUCAAGACCAGGCAGGUGUGACAGUCACAGAAGCAGGAACUCAAUCAUGAAGGACCUCCUAGGCCAAUUCAAGGAGCGUGUACUUGACCUUGUAGACAAAGCAGGUUAUUAAAGGAUAUAAGACAGAGAGUCACACCAUGUGGUUUUUAAGACAAGGUGACAUUUCCUUCUAUGCCCUCACCCUCGUAGAAUUCUUAGAACCUUAGGAACUAAGUUCCCAUGGUCGCCAAAAAAGAAUGUAACAGAAAAUCCAUUUAUGGAAUGUCAGGGGGAUUUGUCCAGACAUUGUGAUUGUCAGCCCUGGGGGUCUGGCAGGUGGGAGUGGGGAGUAGAGAACCAGACUGAAGAUAAAGGCAGCAGAAUGCUAAAAAUAGCUGUCUUCGAAUGGUGCCAUCAUGGGGGUGUCCUCCUCUUACUUCCAUUUUACAGAUCUUAAACACCAUAAUUCUGUUUUAUUCAUAUGGGAGUACGUAUGUAUACUUCAACAGUAAAUGGAAGGUGGACCCACGGCCAUGGCACAAAAUACUUCCCGGUACUAAGCUGCUGGCGGCUGCAUUUUGUGGUUUCUUCAUUAGCUGGAAUUUAUAGUUCAGAUCUCAUCAUUCUGCCAAGUGCAAUAAACAUUCUGUUU
rnacentral:lncRNA from 1 species